CUACGGGAGGCAGCAGUGGGGAAUAUUGGACAAUGGGGGGAACCGUGAUUCAGCCAUGCCGCGUGUGUGAAGAAGGCCUUUUGGUUGUAAAGCACUUUAAGCAGUGAAGAUGACUAUUCUGUUAAUACCCGGGGACGAUGACAUUAGCUGCAGAAUAAGCACCGGCUAACUUGUGCCAGUCAGCCGCGGUAAUACAGAGGGCGCAUAGCGCUUAAUCGGAAAUUACAUGGGGCGUAAAGCGAGCUGUAGGUGGCUUGAUCAAUCAUAUGUCAAAUUCCCGGGAUUAACCUCGGGAAAUGCCUUUGAAAAUGUUUGGUUAGGGUAGGGGAGAAGGAAAUAGAAUUUCAGAUGUAGGGGUGAAAUGUGUAGAGAUUUGAGGGAAACCCCAUUGGGAAGGCAGGUUCCUGGCAUCAUAAUGACCGUGGGGCUAGAAAGCGUGGGUAGCCAAACGGGUUUGAUWCCCUGGUUGUUCCCCCCGUUAAAGGAGUAUAGUCGGUGGUCGGUCCGCUGAGGACUCGGUGACGCU
rnacentral:rRNA from 1 species